UUGACGGUACCCUACUAGAAAGGAGCCGCUAACUUCGUGCCAGAAGCGUCGGUAAUACGGGGGCUCCAAGCGUUAUCCGGUGUUAUUGGGCGUAAAGAGUCGUGUAGGUGGUUGGGUAAGUUAUCUUUCAAAUAUCUUUGCUUAACAAAGAGGAGGGGGAUAAUACUGCUCGACUAGAAUUUUCUCAAGGGAGAUCGGAACUGAGGGAGGAGUAGUGAAAUGCGUUUGAUACCCUCGGGAACACCAGUGGCGUAGGCGGAUCUCUGGGAGAAGAUUUGACACUGAGACACGAAAGCUAGGGGAGCGAAGCAGAUUAGAGACCUGCGUAGUCCUAGCCGUAAACGCAUGCUUGCUAGCUGCAUGAAUCUACCUUCGGGUGGUAUCGUGUGGCGAAGGUAACCCGUUAAGCAAGCCGCCUGGAAAGUACGGCCGCAAGGCUGAAAUUCAAAGGAAUUGGCGGGGAGGCACACAACCAGUGGAACAUGUGGUUUAAUUCGAGACUAACCGAAGAACCUCACCAGGGUUUGACAUGUAGCUGCACGUCUUAAGAAAUUAAGACUCUCUUGAAGGUGCUACACAGGUGCUGCAUGGCUGUCGUCAGCUCGUUCCGUGAGGAGUGCCCUUAAGUGGGACAACGAGCGCAACCCCUAUUACAUGUUAGAAAUGUCAUGUAAGACUGCCUUGCCAUUUGGCGGGGAGGAAGGAGGGGCAGACGUCAAGUCCGCAUGGUCCUUAUGCCCUGGGCUACACACAUGUUACAAUGAGUACGGCAAUGAGUCUGUCGCGAGCACGUAAGUGUAAGCUAAUCUCUUAAAUGUACUCUCAGUGGGGAUUGAGGUCUGCAACUCGACCUCAUGAACACGGAAUUGGUAGUAAUCGCGGGUCAGCUAUACCGCGGUGAAUACGUUCUUGCCUCUUGCACACACCGCCCGUCAAACCAGCAAAGU
rnacentral:rRNA from 1 species